CCAGCUCAGGUACAAGCUGCAGCCGCGGCUGCGGUCAAAGCGCACCAUCAUCAGCACUCACAACAUCCACAGCAGCAGCUGGAUAUUGAACCGGACAGACCUAUUGGAUACGGAGCCUUUGGUGUCGUCUGGUCAGUCACAGAUCCGCGAGACGGAAAGAGAGUUGCACUCAAAAAGAUGCCCAACGUCUUCCAAAAUCUGGUCUCUUGUAAAAGGGUCUUCCGGGAGUUGAAGAUGUUGUGUUUUUUUAAGCAUGACAAUGUACUCUCUGCCCUUGACAUACUCCAGCCUCCGCACAUUGACUAUUUUGAAGAAAUGUAUCCUAAAAAUAAAAUAGAGCUGCUUAAUUGAGGUAGGUGUAAUUUUCAUUAGCUUAGAAGCUACUGGCAGUUGGUGGGAUCUGUGUAAUAGAACUACAAAAACCCCGAGCCUGUGUCUGAACAGUUGGAUGUGAAGAAGGGAAGCUGUACUUUCCUGAAGCUGUUGUUACUGUUAGUGCUGAUGCUGAGCAGUGCAGUGUGAAACUAAGAAUGUGUGGGGCUGUCAGUGCAGUGCUGCGAUGCGACCAGCAUGGAGUGCUGCUACUGGUGGUGAAUCCUCCAAAAUGUUUCUUUGAAAACUUACAUAGCAAUGAUCGUCCUGUCAGUUAUUAGUGCCUUCAGAUGCUUCCUGGUGCUCUCGGAAAGCGCCAGUGACUGUCACCUGCUUUGAAAUCAUGACUUUUUGGGGAUGCUGCAGCAGCCUGGCUGGGUGCUGGCUCUCUUUGUUCAGCUCCUAUCUUGAUCAAGAUGACAGAUUUCAGUGUUGUGUUGGAUGUGUCACUGAUACAAAGGUACAUGCUGUCUACAGGUAACCAUAUUAAAAUUUACAUUUCUUUCAUUCAUCAUAACUUGACGCAGGCGUGUCGUUUUGUUUCCUUUUUCAGUCUUUGUUUGGGUACUGUUUUGGGGUUGGGAAUUUCUGCUUUGUGAAAUACUGAAAAAUGAAGUGAUUCAUGCAGGGGGGGUUGUGCUGCUAUGGAGCAGCUGCAGGAGGAGCUCUGGGGUUCAGAGCAGAGCUAUGGGCACUUGGUCUGCUCAUGUCACUGGAAAUCAAUGUGGUGAGUUAACUACAGAUUUGUAGAUGUGCAGUACUGAACAUAGGAAUAAAAUGAGAUUGGCUUGGAACAAAGAAAAUCAGAGUAAUUCUGAUCUCUGCAGACUUUUCCAGCUGCAUACCCAGAAUUGUAGCGAGGUUUUUCUGCCUGGUUAACCCCAUUGGCUGUUCUCUUCUGUAAGCUAAUUUAAACAUUUGUCCUGCUAAGAUCAGUUUGGGGGAAGUUUUUAACUGGUAAAACAUAACCAUGAUAAAUAGCACUGAAUGGAUCGUUUAUUUCUGUUCCCUCAAGAGUCUGAAGAUUAUGCACAGUUUUAUAAACUGUUCAGAUAUUUUUACACAAGUUAUUAGUAAAAUAAUAAUCUUUGUAGACUUUUACUAGUGAAAAUAAUGUUUAAGAGCUGGUAAUCAAAUGUCCUCACACGUUGGCAUUUCUGUUACCAAGUGAGCAUUCUGAGGGCUGUGCCAAUCUGAGGUAAGCUGAUAGACCUGUGUCUUUUCUAUGGAAAAUGCCACAAACAAAUGCUGUUAAACUCUGUGCUGAACUGUUGAGGUGUUGCACCAUAACACACUCAGGUGUGUGUCAUCUCAUUGACUGCUCUUCUUUUUACAGCUUUGGUUGCACUGUCUUUUGAGUUUAUAAUCCACAACCUGGUUGUUCACACAGUAACUCCCUCCCAGAGCCAAAACUGUUACCCAGAUCUUGUUGUAAAUCAGGCAGGCCAUGAAGAACUAUCAGUUAUGAGCUCCAGUGGCAUACCUGCCAGUCACCUUCCAGCUCAAAACGUGUGUACAUUCAGAGUGUAUGAAGUGUUCUGAUUGAGGAUUUAGGUUUAUUUUCCAAAAUUACAAGUUUGUUGCCAUUGUAGCUGAGACCUGAGGACUUCUCUUCUGUUGGCAGGAUGCAUGUAGCAGUUAUGUUUAAAACAACUGCACAAUCCUAUGGGCGUCCAUCACAUGUCCUACUUAUCCUACAAGCAGCUUUGGUGUACUGGUGUCAGUCCUCAGCGGGACUGAGUGUGUCAGCUUAUGGUGAUGGUCAGAGUUGGGAGGGUUAUUUUCUCAGUUACUGAUGGGUCGUCGUUGUUUGUUUUUGUAUAACCCUCCUUAGAAUAAUGAAAAAAACAAUAAUGAAAGCUGUCAUUCUUUCUUUGAUAUAAACUGAGUUGCAUGAAUUGUGAUUUGAUCUAUUUGUAGUACCUUGAAACCUCUGGUGAAGAAAAGUCGUCAGGAAAAUUAUUUUGAACCCAGUGGUUGUAACUAAAGUAUGACAUGAUUUAUUGGCUGAUAAAAGAUUUGUUGGAUGAAAACCUUGCCAUUCUAUAUUCAGGCUUUGUCACAUGAGUGUUAGAUAAAGCUCUUGCAAUUUUGCUUUAGUAUUUCCUUCAUAUGAAGAUCUGAGUCUUCACAAACUGGAUUUCGGUCAUUUGCAGUAGUUCAGUUCUCUUCUUUUAUAACAAGUCAUGUGAGUUUUAGAUCAGAUCUAGGCUAAGGAUUAUUCCUUCUGUGUAAUUGUACAACCAGGAGUCUGUAAGUGGGAUAAGCUUAGCUACUGCCAAGUUUCAUAUGGAAAACCAGCAAUGUCAGUUUCCUUCGUGGCUAACCAAUUUUAAGUUAUUCUGAGCAGUGUUUUGUGGGGAUGCACUCCAGGCUGCUGUGUGGCUCUGUGCUGGGCUGACGGCAUCCAGGAGUGUUGAUCAAAUAGGAGAACAGUGACCACUGAUGUUGUGACUGAAGUGCAUUUCAGUGCACGUUACCGUCUGUGGGAAUUCUUGGUUGAUCUGCCAUACAGCUCUGUUCUGCAGCCAGUCAGUAGUCAGACUUGCAAAAUCUUUAAUCGACUGUAAUACUGAAAUCUGCAACUGGAAAUACACAGAUGUCUCCUCUUUAGCUGGGAUCUAUUGUAAUUUGGUGCUGUGGUAACUUCUGGAACACUUUUUCCAUUAAAGGGAAUGUUAGAAGCAGUUGAGAAGACAAUAUCCUGUCAGUAUUGUUUGUUGACGGGGAAAGAUUUUAAGGCUAGUAAAAGAAAAGGUGCAUAGCACCUCCUUUCCACCCAUCUGCUGGGGGGGGCAGAACUGUUUUUUCUGGCCAUCAGGGAGCAAAAGCUGUUCCUCAGGCAGCAGAAGGGGCGAUGUGGCCCCACCAGGACCGCAGGCAGUGUGCCCUGUGCUGCUGCCCGCACAGCACGCUCCUUUGGGCCGACGCUCCAACAAACCCAGCAGGACUUGGACUGGGAGGAUCAGGAUGUGCUGCAGAAGGCUGUGGGUUGCCCUUUUGUGGCUGGUAGCAGUUUGUGUUCUGGGCAGAACAGAAUGCAACUGAACAGUUUGAAGACAUCAUAUAAAGAUGAUGAGAAAAUGGUGCUGUUCUCAAAGUUCUAAAACUCUAUCUGAAAAAGGCCCGGAUGUCUGCUCGAAUGGACUGUAUGACAAAGAGUCGCUGUAACACGAGGAGCUCUUGUAGGAGGGUUAAAAUUUUACCUUAUUAGAACUUGACUGCUGAAUGCCUUCAUUGCAGCACUUGCAAUGUCUAGUUGGAUAAUAUUGUGUGCAACUGAAAAGGCGGCUCCAGGAGCCGGCUCUGCUGGGUGCAAAUAUUCCCCCAGCCCCAACGUUUUGUUUUCAGUUAGCCACAGCUAUGCCUGGGCCCCACACAGACUGAUACAGAGGGGGUUUAACUGAUGCAAAUCCAUCUCUGCAGGGUGAUGGUUGUUCAGAGUUCCUUCUUACAGCAAAAACUUACCUGGAUGUGAGCUCUGCAAGCUGUACAGCAUUCCCAGCUAACAGUGUGGAGUUGUUUAAAGAAUAGGCUGCUAGUUCAACACAGCUGUCUGCUCCAUGUAAUUUUAAUUUAAUAAGAGAACGAGCUACUCAUGGAAUUUAAUUUACUAUAUCUAAGUAUACCAGUAUUACAGAGAUUUUUCUUUUUUUCCCUGGUAUGCAUCAAUGGGAAAUUAUUUCUAUUGAGAAGAUUGCGUCCUCGUGGGAAAACACCAGGGAGGUUUUGAAGUUUAAUAUCAUGUAUUGUUAGCAGUUUCCUCUCAAGUCAGUGCUGCUGUGGUGUGUGUCUGGCUGUCAGUGAGUCAGUAAAAACAGAUUGGUGUUUUUUUCCCUUCUCUCCUUCUAAUUUUGAACCUUUUGUGAGUACUCAAUGAAUUAUCUUAAUUUCUAAUUUAAAGUUUACAGCCUGAUUUUUGUGGAAGCUGAAAGGGCGCUAUGUGAGAAAGUUCUGCACUGUUACCUUUGAGGAGGUGCUCUCUGUGCGUUGGUAUUUGGCAUUGCAUCUUUUCAAUCCAUUUAAAAGCUAUUUGUAGAAUAAAUUAUCAAUAUUCAUUAGUCCUCUGUCCACAGAUCUGAUUAAUCUGCACAGCUCUAUCUGCUGAUUAAUUCACGCAGCCCUUUGCACUGUUUUGCUCUUUUCCUACUCGUGGAAAUAUUUGCUAAUUUUACCACAUGUGCCCAUAAGCACUGUAACGUUUCAGAAUUGUGAUCUGCAAGAGGUAUUUAGUAGCACAAACAUCUGACAAACAUUUUUCCUGUCCGAAUAUUAAAUUCAGGUAACCUUGUGACCAAACAAUUAGAUAACUAAGGGAAUUUUGGAAGUAAUGCUGAAGUGUAGCGUUAAUUCCUUUACCCUGCAGGCUGUGUGCUGCCAUACCCUGGGGAAUGGUUUGCCAUCCCACUGCGUAGGGAUUUCAGAGGCAGUUUUUGCUGACACCAGCGAGCCUGUAUGUCCUCAUCUGGCUGAUGGCAGUGUACAGCCAGGAAGAUGUGUCUCAGCAACCCCAGAGACAGUCGUGCAGGAGUGAAACGCCUGAUUUAGUUUGUCUUUCCCUGAAUAGAGCUUCCACAGGAUUCAAGCUUUGUUUUACAAAUAGUAGAUGCAAGUAUUUAGAUAUGAAACUAAAGCCAUUUUAUUGUAUGAUACCGAGUGCUGCUAAACUGCAGGUGGCCAAAAGCAGAGCCACUUGUGUGAUUGAGACGUGGGGCUUCUGGGGGGGACCAGCACUACUUAAUGAGUGGGUCAGUGCUGUGGGGCUGGGACUGGGUGCACAGGGAGCCCUCGCAGUGCCAUCCCGUGGCUGGCCGUGCCUGCAGAGCGGCAGGAUGCACUGCCCUGCACACACACCUCCUGCCCUGCCUGCUGCUGGCCCGCCUGCCCCACAGCUCAGCCACAAAGCGCUGCUUCUUCCUGCAGAAAAGUAUCUGUGGCUCUGUUUUGAGGUGAGCAGAGCCGUAGUGAGGAAGAUUCUGAGUCACUGUGAGAAUCUUGCAUCACAAUACUUUGUUCUUUUCUAAAAUUCGUUUGUAAAAUGUACCAACUCAGCAAGUCUCCCCGUCAGAGCAAGUGAAGUUUUCCUGUGCCGCGCAUUUCCCUUGGUAAUUAGUCUGAAGCAAAUUGGUACAUUUGUAGUUCUAAUUUUAUACACUACUUAACUAAUUACUUCUGUCAGAAGCAAUUUUUAUCUGGUGGCGGUGCUCAGCUCUGUUACAGCUCCAGUGGCCGCCUCUCCGUGGGCCGGCUCCAAGGAGGAGCUCUGGCGCUUGUUGGGAUCGCGGAGCGCAGUCCGCAGGGUUCCGUGGUUGGUUCUGUGUGACAUCUAUUGCUGCUGGGCAGGCUGCAGCCACUGACCCACUUGGGCACAGCUGCUUGCAGAAGGCAGGAACAUCAGCCGUGCUGCUUUUGCUCAUGUUUGGAGACCUCAUUAAAUUAUCUAGAGACAAUAAUCAGAUAGCUGCCGUUCAACUUAAUGGCACCUCUGAGCCCGUCGAGAGAGCUUUAUUUAAUGUGCGGCAGACCUGGAGUGGUGCAGGUGCCAUUUCAGGCCCUCAUUUAAUUUAAGCUGCUUUAGUUGGCAUGGCAACUAGUUGAGACAUCUGGGAGACAUUAUGCUUGGGAUUGAGAUUUAGGAGGAUUUGUGGCGUAGCAAAACAGAUCUUAUCAUAAUAAAGUGCAGAGUAAUGCUUUCAGUAUUUUUAAAAAUAUUUUACAUUA